GAGGGUAUAGCUCAGUGGUUGAGCAUGUGCUUAGGAUGCAAGAGGUCCUGGGUUCAAACCCCAGUGCCUCCA
rfam:Camelus ferus unplaced genomic scaffold scaffold1178, whole genome shotgun sequence.